AAAACCCAACUACACCCUUAAUUUUUAUAUCCUAACAACCACUAAGGCCCUGUAUAAUUGGUUUUAGGUUGGGGCGACCACGGAGUACAACAAAACCUCCACAAUGAAUGGGACCACGGCCUUAUCUAAGAGUUACCAGUCCAAGAAUUAAAAUAUUAAGAUAAAAUGAUCCAUUUUUUGAUCAAUGAACCAAGUUACCCUGGGGAUAAGAGCGCAAUAGAUUUCAAGAGUACCUAUCGACAAGUGGGUUU
rnacentral:rRNA from 1 species